rnacentral:rRNA from 1 species
UACGUAGGGUGCAAGCGUUGUCCGGAAUUAUUGGGCGUAGAGAGCUCGUAGGCGGUCUGUCGCGUCGGCUGUGAAAACCCGAGGCUCAACCUCGGGCCUGCAGUCGAUACGGGCAAACUGGAGUACUGCAGGGGAGACUGGAAUUCCUGGCGUAGCGGUGAAAUGCGCAGAUAUCAGGAGGAACACCGGUGGCGAAGGCGGGUCUCUGGGCAGUAACUGACGCUGAGGAGCGAAAGCGUGGGGAGCGAACAGG